AUUGAACGCUGGCGGCAGGCUUAACCCAUGCAAGUCGAGCGAGCGGCGGACGGGUGAGUAAUGUCUGGGAAACUGCCUGAUGGAGGGGGAUAACUACCGGAAACGGUCGCUAAUACCGCAUACCAUCAGAUGUGCCCAGAUGGGAUUAGCUAGUAGGUGGGGUAAUGGCUCACCUAGGCGACGAUCCCUAGCUGGUCUGAGAGGAUGACCAGCAACACGGGAACUGAGACACGGUCCAGACGCCGACGUGAGGAAGCAGUGGGGAAUAUGGCACAAUGGGCGCAAGCCGGAUGAAGCCAUGCCGCGGGUGUGAAGAAGGCCUUCGGGUUGUAAAGCACUGUCAGCGAGGAGGCGUUACUCGCAGAAUAAGCACCGGCUAACUCCGUGCCAGCCGCCGCGGUAAUAC
rnacentral:rRNA from 1 species